ensembl:lncRNA
GGGAGCGGGGCUUGUUUCUGGGAAAGCUCGGCUGUGACAGUGUUGUGUUUCCUCGCUCCUUCUUUUGACGGAUUCUUUCGUUUGAGAACAAUUUGUUUUAUCUCAGUCGUUAGAGAGAUGAUAGAAACAACUUCUGAACACAAACGCUGCGUAAUUAGAAAGUUUAACGAGGAUAUUCAGACGACUUUAAAGAAGAAGGACCGUGUUUGGUUUCGGAGAGAAGCUUCAUGAACAGGCGUCGAGCAGACACCGCCCUCAUCCUCCGCGUUCUCUGACGUCGAUAUGGGAGGACUUUUGAAAACAUGAUGUUCAUGGUGUCUGUUCAGAAACAGACACGAAAGACAGCUGCAUACAAAUGGCCUCAUAGAACUCAUAUCUUAAACUAGAUGUCUGUUCACAGUGAGAGCGGGGCUGACUGAGUUUGCACAAAGGGGAGGACAUUGGCUGAUAUCGUAACUAUGAUGUGAAGGUGGGGGUGGGCCCGGAGAUAAAAGCACUCACCUGCAGCUGACCAAGGAGGCUGAAGAGUUGGCCUGUGGGUGGGACGCCAGGAUGUUGGGAAUUCUGUCCACUAUGUCGACGACGGUGGCUCCCGGUAACAACAGCGUGAGCGCCCCCCUCAUCCGCACGUUCCUGACGAUGGAAUCCCCGAGGACCAGCGUGGAGAGAGGAGGUGCCACCGGGGGCUGCUGACCAUCUGAGACGCCCACUUGUACAAGGCCACAAAAUCAUCACAGCUGAGUCUGGAAAGAACAUCACUCUGACAUGUCGAGCUCCAAACAACAACAUAGUAGUAGAAUGGAGCAGAGCUGACCUGGAGUCAGAAUAUGUGCUUUUGUACCGAGUCGAGCUGUUUAUUCGAGAUCACCAGCAUCCAUCUUUUAAGGACCGGGUGGAUCAGCAGGACAGACAGAUGAAGGAUGGAGACGUGUUUUUGAUUCUGAUCAACGUGACGACUAAUGACACUGGAACAUACGAGUGUUGUGUCUUCAUGGGAGAAACACGCUCAUGGAAAUCCAUCAGCAUCAUCUAUCUGAUUGUUGAUCCUCCAGGUCAGACAGGAGGAGACACAGAGGAUGGAGAGGAGGAAGAUGGAGUUGGUAGAAGUCAUCAAGGUCGACUGAUGGCUGCUGAUUUAUUACUUGCUGUGAUCAUUCUUGUUUUUGCAGUUGUGAUCUCUAAAAAACACAAGAAAGAUCCUCCUCUUCAUCCUCCUGAUGAAGAAGCAAAGAAGGAAAUGGUCUGAAGCAAAGCACCAUGGAACAAGAGAGAGAGGGAGAAUACAUUAAAACCAGUUAAAAAUGUUUAACUAUAAAAAUGACAAUAUAUAUACGUAUAGAUGGAUAGUUGUAUGAGGGUAACUGAGAGUGACUUUGGCUUAGUGAGAUGAGUAGCUGCCUUGAGACUAAGAGGGCCAGGUUGGAAUCCUGCUCAGGGCAACAUUUUAGGGGGCAGGGAUAACUCAGUAGGUAGAGUGGUGGCCCCAUGAUCGGAAGGUCGGGGGUUCGAUUCCCCUGAACAGCUACCCUAAGGUACCCCUGAGCAAGGCACCGUCCCUACACACUGCUCCCCGGGCGCCCAAAGGCUGCCCACUGCUUCACUGAGUGAAUGGGUUAAAUGCAGAGAGGAAUUUCCCCACAGGGAUCAAUAAAGUACACUUUCUUUCUUUCUAACGUCACGAGGAGAACAAAGAGAAUAUAAACCAUAUAUGUGCUUAGAUCUGUGUGGACCAUUUUAGUUUAAUAUCAGAAGCUGUUUGAGUUACAUUUCAUUGCCCCAGAUGGUAACACCUCCACACCAUCUGAUAAGUUUUGGUUGAAGAUUUAUGUAAAGCAAACUGUCAGAGAAACUCUUGGAUCUGUGUCGGCUCCUCUUGAUCUCAGUGCUUUGAUCCUGUGGAUCACUGCAGACGUUUAGAGACAGUGAUAGAGACUCUCAGAGUUUCUGACUGGAUUAAACUGCACAGAUGGAGGAUUCUUUGUACGUGGUAGUGAAUCUUCAUCCAGGAGCUACAAACUGAACCAUGGCGCUCCACAGGGUCAGAUCUGGGACCAGUGCUUUUAACAUUUACAGGCUGUAACUUUGUGAUGUCAUCAGGAGACACAGAAUGAUUACACUGAUGAUACACAACUUUAUGUUGCUGUGUCUCUUGAUGACACAGAGCCAAUCAGAUCUCUCUGCAUCUUACAUAUUAAAUCCUGGAUGGCAGCAAACUUCCUCCAACUCACUCAGGAUGUGGAGACACAGACUCCUUCUUUCAUCUGCUGCAGGAUUGAUUGCUGCAGUGCUCGUCUUUUUAGUUUUCCAAAGAAACCCUUGUUACUGCAGCUGCUUUAAAAAUCAACUCCACAGCCUUAAUUACACCAAUGUUAUUGUCUGUGCAGUCAGAGUCGUCUUUAAGAUCCUUUUACUGGUUUUUAACACUCAGUGUUUCAGGACCUUCUCAUCUUUCUGAUUUACUUUUAUGCUAUGAGCACUUCAGAGCCCUCUGGGGCCCGUUCUUCGUACCUCGCUAAGUAAGUUAGCCGGAUUUGAAUGUUGACGAUUUCGCGUGAUCUUGGAUUGUUCGGUUCUCCGAAGCUCAUCUGGGACUUGCUGUCAUAGCAACAGAUCCGUAAGCGUAAACCUGCUCGGGAGCAGGUUUACUUUAUGUAAACAGGAUUAGAUCGCGGCCACUCAGGUAUGUCCGCUGCAGUUAUAUGAAAGCAAGAGCGAUAUUUCUCCACUGUGUUACCAUAAAUAAAUAUUAUCAAUGUCACUAAAGAUAAUGUAGCAUUUGAUUCUUUUAUUGAUUUCAUACAGAUACAUACAGGUCAUUUCCGAAAAAAAGGGAAAUGUACUAUUAAUCAUUCUAUUACAUGUAGUAGAUCAUGUCAGAUGUAAUUCAUAUUUUAGAGUAGUAAUAGUAAAUUACUACGUGCAAUCAAGAUGAGAGACCACGGCUAUAAAAGCGAAGGUGGAUUUGGGAAGUCUGUCGCAGCCAUGUCCUGUCCGUUUGUACGCGAGCAAGGAAGGUGCAAGAUUGAUAAGGAGAGUUUACAGAAUUUAGCGUAUAUUGCGGGAUAGACAGGAUCCUUUAGCUCAGCACGACGGUGUGCUCAUAGAGAGAUAUCGAUUCUCCCGUGAGGGUAUUAUUUUCUUUCUCUCUCUCUCUCACUCUCUCCAUACAUACAUAUAUAUAUAUAUAUGUAUAUAUAUAUCUUUAUUUGCUCUGCCCUUUUCUUGGUUGCUUUUAUAAACAAACAAACAGAUUAUUUCAGGGUCUCUUUUCAAGAGACUAAAAGCAAUAUAAGUGAUAAAUAUUACCAUUCUGUAGAAUAUUCUUAUAUUUCACUUUUACUUGUUCCCAUGUUCUAGUGGGUCCUGUUGUGGCUCUAAUGUGGAAGAGGAUAUGAUGUAAUAUAAUAUAAUAUGGUAUAAUAUAAUAUCACAUGAUAUAAUGUAAUAUCAUGGAUCACUUACGAGUUUAAUUUGUCAGCAACUUUCUGCCAGCCCUCUCUCCUUGCUUUUGCAGCCUUUGCAGUGUUCCCCUGCGUUUUAAUUAAACUAUGAAACUCCUGAAAUCCCUCAAUCAAGAGUUCUUGGUCUGCUGCCGUAAAAUACUGAGGGCGCUCCUUCGACAUCUUCGCCGACCAAUCACAGGGUUGCCGAUCAAUGUUUCUACUAUCGAUGCGUAGCCCCUUUUAAGCCACCCAGUGAUCUCAGAUUACUUCAUCCAGCUAUACUAAUCGUCAACAACAGGUGUGUUCGGAGAACCGGAUUAGCGAGCUCAAAGUUAGCGCGAUGAUUUGAUCUUGGAUGUGUCAUUUGAUCUUGGAUGUAGUAAGCGAGGUACGAAGAACGGGCCCCAGGACAGGAGACUGUUGAUCAUCUUUAUUUAUCAUGCUGCACUUUAUUUCAUUUUACUUUUGAUGUAUUUACUGUUUUCUUUGUUUAUUCCCUUUUCGUUAUAUUUCAUGUAUUCUUAGUAGCCUUGUUAUGUUAUUUAUCAUUUCUUUUUAAUCUCCAGUGUUUCUGUAUGAUGAGUGUCUGAUGUCUGGGUGUGGGAGUGGGGAUGAAGGAGUGAUGAGAGGAUGUAAUGAAGUUGAUGUAUGUGUAUUUUUUCUGCUUUUAAUUUAACAUCAUUUUGAGUGGCUUCCUUACUGUGUGAGAAGUGCUAUGUAAAUAAAGUUUUGAGUGAUAUACUAA